GAUGAACGCUGGCGGCGUGCCUAAUACAUGCAAGUCGAGCGAACGGACGAGAAGCUUGCUUCUCUGAUGUUAGCGGCGGACGGGGGUGUAACACGUGGAUAACCUACCUAUAAUACUGGGAUAACUUCGGGAAACCGGAGCUAAUACCGGGUAAUAUUUUGAACCGCAUGGUUCAAAAGUGAAAGACGGUCUUGCUGUUACUUAUAGCUGGAUCCGCGCUGCAUUAGCUAGUUGGUAAGGUAACGGCUUACCAAGGCAACGAUGCAUAGCCGACCUGAGAGGGUGAUCGGCCACACUGGAACGGAAACACGAUCCAGACCCCUACGGGAGGCAGCAGUAGGGUAUCUUCCGCAAUUGGCGAAAGCCUGACGGAGCAACGCCGAGUGAGGGAUGAAGGUCUUCGGAUCUUAAAACUCUGUUAUUAGGGAAGAACAUAUGUGUAAGUAACUGUGCACAUCUUGACGGUACCUAAUCAGAAAGCCACGGCUAACUACGUG
rnacentral:rRNA from 1 species